rnacentral:rRNA from 1 species
UCGGGAAUUUUGGGCAAUGGGCGAAAGCCUGACCCAGCAACGCCGCGUGAAGGAUGAAGUAUUUCGGUAUGUAAACUUCGAAAGAAUAGGAAGAAUAAAUGACGGUACUAUUUAUAAGCUCCGGCUAACUACGUGCCAGCAGCCGCGGUAAUACGUAGGGAGCAAGCGUUGUUCGGAUUUACUGGGCGUAAAGGGCGCGUAGGCGGCGCGGUAAGUCACUUGUGAAAUCUCUGAGCUUAACUCAGAACGGCCAAGUGAUACUGCAGUGCUAGAGUGCAGAAAGGGCAAUCGGAAUUCUUGGUGUAGCGGUGAAAUGCGUAGAUAUCAAGAGGAACGCCUGAGGCGAAGGCGGGUUGCUAGGCUGACACUGACGCUGAGGCGCGAAAGCCAGGGGAGCAAACG